rnacentral:rRNA from 1 species
UACGUAGGGCGCAAGCGUUGUCCGGAAUUAUUGGGCGUAAAGAGCUCGUAGGCGGCCUGUUGCGUCCGCUGUGAAAUCCCGGGGCUCAACCCCGGGCCUGCAGUGGAUACGGGCUGGCUAGAGGCAGGCAGGGGAGAACGGAAUUCCUGGUGUAGCGGUGGAAUGCGCAGAUAUCAGGAAGAACACCAACGGCGAAGGCGACUCUUUGGCCUGUAACUGACGCUGAGGCGCGAAAGCGUGGGGAGCAAACAGG